rnacentral:rRNA from 1 species
GACGAACGCUGGCGGCGUGCUUAACACAUGCAAGUCGAACGGUGAAGGGACCGGUUUUUGCUGGUUCUGGAUGAGUGGCGAACGGGUGAGUAACACGUGAGUAACCUGCCCCCUUCUUCUGGAUAACCGCAUGAAAGUGUGGCUAAUACGGGAUAUUCUGCGCCUGCUGCAUGGUGGGUGUGGGAAAGAUAUUGUUUCGGUGGGGGAUGGGCUCGCGGCCUAUCAGCUUGUUGGUGGGGUGAUGGCCUACCAAGGCGGUGACGGGUAGCCGGCCUGAGAGGGUGGACGGUCACACUGGGACUGAGACACGGCCCAGACUCCUACGGGAGGCAGCAGUGGGGAAUAUUGCACAAUGGGCGCGAGCCUGAUGCAGCGACGCCGCGUGAGGGAUGGAGGCCUUCGGGUUGUAAACCUCUUUCGCCAGUGAAGCAGGCCUGUCCCUUUUGUGGGUGGGUUGACGGUAGCUGGAGAAGAAGCGCCGGCUAACUACGUG